rnacentral:rRNA from 1 species
CCUACGGGAGGCAGCAGUGGGGAAUUUUGCGCAAUGCUCGGAAGAGUGAAGCAGCGACGCCGCGUGAAUGACGAAGGCCUUCGGCUUGUAAAGUUCUUUUGACAGGGAAGAAAAUGCCCAUAAGUAACUGUUUCUGUAUUGACGGUACCUGAAUACGCAGCCCCGGCUAACUCCGUGCCAGCAGCCGCGGGAAUACGGAGGGGGCGAGCGUUGUGCGGAGUGAUUGGGCGUAAAGAGCUCGUGGGCGGUGUUGUAAGUCAUGAGUGAAAGACUAGGGCGCAACUCUAGUCGGGCUAGGGAUACUAGAAGACUAGAGUAAGAGAGAGGAAUGCGGAAUUCCUGGUGUAGCGGUGAAAUGCGUAGAUAUCGGGAAGAAUACCAAGAGCGAAGGCAGCGAUCUGGGUGGAAACUGACGCUGAGGUACGAAAGCGUGGGGAGCAAACAGGAUUAGAUACCCGAGUAGUC